rnacentral:sRNA from 1 species
AUCCGCCACGUCGUUGCUGUUUCUCGCAUCCUUCGAGAAAUCUCUGGCGAUUAGGAGCC